GAUGAACGCUGGCGGCGUGCCUAAUACAUGCAAGUCGAGCGAACAGACGAGGAGCUUGCUCCUCUGACGUUAGCGGCGGACGGGUGAGUAACACGUGGAUAACCUACCUAUAAGACUGGGAUAACUUCGGGAAACCGGAGCUAAUACCGGAUAAUAUAUUGAACCGCAUGGUUCAAUAGUGAAAGACGGUUUUGCUGUCACUUAUAGAUGGAUCCGCGCCGCAUUAGCUAGUUGGUAAGGUAACGGCUUACCAAGGCAACGAUGCGUAGCCGACCUGAGAGGGUGAUCGGCCACACGGGAACUGAGACACGGUCCAGACUCCUACGGGAGGCAGCAGUAGGGAAUCUUCCGCAAUGGGCGAAAGCUUGACGGAGCAACGCCGCGUGAGUGAUGAAGGUCUUCGGAUCGUAAAACUCUGUUAUUAGGGAAGAACAAAUGUGUAAGUAACUGUGCACGUCUUGACGGUACCUAAUCAGAAAGCCACGGCUAACUACGUG
rnacentral:rRNA from 1 species